GACGAACGCUGGCGGCGUGCUUAACACAUGCAAGUCGAACGGAAAGGCCCCCAUCUUGGUGGGGGUGCUCGAGUGGCGAACGGGUGAGUAACACGUGGGUGAUCUGCCCUGUACUUCGGGAUAAGCUUGGGAAACUGGGUCUAAUACCGGAUAGGACCAUGGUUUAGUGUCUCAUGGUGGAAAGAUUAUUGUUUUGGUGCAGGAUGAGCUCGCGGCCUAUCAGCUUGUUGGUGGGGUAAUGGCCUACCAAGGCGUCGACGGGUAGCCGGCCUGAGAGGGUGGACGGCCACAGUGGGACUGAGAUACGGCCCAGACUCCUACGGGAGGCAGCAGUGGGGAAUAUUGCACAAUGGGCGCAAGCCUGAUGCAGCGACGCCGCGUGGGGGAUGACGGCCUUCGGGUGGUAAACUCCUUUCGUUAGGGACGAAGCCACGCUUUUGGGGUGUGGUGACGGUACCUUUGUUAAGAAGCACCGGCUAACUACGUG
rnacentral:rRNA from 1 species